rfam:Clostridium sp. ATCC 29733 genomic scaffold Scaffold194, whole genome shotgun sequence.
GGGGGCGCAAUGGUUUCGACGGGGAUCGUGAAGCACGGGAAGCGAGUGGCGGUGCGGGACCGCCUCAACAAUCCGCACCUUAAAAGUAAACGUCGAUAACAACGAUUACGCUUUAGCGGCCUAGUGCCGCUCAUCCGGCGCGGGGGGGCCACGGACCGCGUUCGGGUGUCAUUUUAGUGGCGAACAUGUAUACGCGAGGGCCUCGUAGCGUAUCAGGUAUAUGAGGAUACUUGGCCCGCGAGCCUGACCACCGGCGCGCGGGGCGGGGAAUGCAAAAGAUGGUCUGCACUCGGAGAUGCCCGUGGGGAGCGGUUUUCGGACACGAGUUCGAUUCUCGUCGCCUCCACCA